rnacentral:rRNA from 1 species
CCCUACGGGGCGCAGCAGGCGCGAAAACUUUACAAUGCGGGAAACCGUGAUAAGGGAACUCCGAGUGCCCGUAAAAUCGGGCUGUCCAUCUGUUUAAAUAACCGGUGAAGAAAGGGCCGGGCAAGACCGGUGCCAGCCGCCGCGGUUUAAUACCGGCGGCUCGAGUGGUAACCGUUGUUAUUGGGUCUAAAGGGUCUGUAGCCGGCCGGAUAAGUCUCUUGGGAAAUCCAGCAGCUCAACUGUUGGGCUUUCAGGAGAUACUGUCUGGCUCGAGGUCGGGAGAGGUGAGAGGUACCUCAGGGGUAGGGGUGAAAUCUUGUAAUCC